GCUCCGUCUAGGACUGAGGACACAGAAGCACUGAUCGUUCUAAAGCCACACUUUCUGUUCAAGUCCAAACAUAAACUUCUUUUGUUUCCAUAAAGAAGGCGGUAGCAUUCUAAGAUACACAGAGGAGCAAGGAAUCCCAUCAUAUCCAUGUUAUUUCCUAACUGCGUAUAUUGAAAAUAAUGAAAUAGAAGAAAAGUGAAAGCUCAAGUUCACCAGAAUGCUCAUGGGACCUGUAAUUACAGUGACUCAUCCCUAAAAAAGUUAUUGUGAGUAGUCACUGUUCCUACGAUAAUGCAAUGGUUUUGCUUAUAAAAUUUCCCUGAAGUUAAACCAACUUAGAGGUGGUGAGUUUGGAUGCAGAAAUUAUUACAUCAGGAUGAUAGAAAUCAUAUAGGCAAUUGCAAAAUUGUCUUUCUGAAGAGGGAGAAUAAACUAGAAUGGUUAUGGAAGGAAAAUCCCUCAAGAACAGCAGAGGAUCAAGAACCCAUGGGGGGGAGGCUUCUCAUAUAUUCAUUUCACACACUACUCCAUCCUCUGAUGCAGUCAGACACAGUCUGCUGAACACAAUUUCCACCCAAUGAUUAGAAAAUGCAGUCCCAUCAAAAGCACAUCUGCCCCAACAUCCUCUGUUAUAAUUUGCUAGCACUGGGUGCCACCUCUUGCAUUCUGAAAGCACCGACCCUUUCCUGCUCCCCAAGCUGCAGAGACACUGAUGUUUUUUCCCUCGAAAGAGGAAAUGUGUUUCACUUUUUUAUACCCACAUGUUGGAGUGGAUUAAAAACAAUAUUAUUUGAUCCUCUGCUCAAUGUCUGAGGCUCAGGAUUACAUGGUUUUAAGUUAAUGCGGUGGUUCUCAAUGCUGGCUGCACAAUAAAACAUCCGAGGAGCUUUUAAAAAUAUUGAAGCCUAGACUGCACCAUGGACAAAUUACAUCAGAACUUUUGGGCAUCUGUGUUAUAUUACACUGCCCCUUGGUGAUUCAAAUGUGCAGCCAGCUUGAGAGAUACUAAGCGAAAAGAAACUUUUCUGUUCUCUUUGAGAUUUCUGAAAACAUUCUAAAAGAAUCACCAAAUAAGAAAAUCUCAAAAUAAGAUAAAGAAGCUAUCAUAUUAUUUUGGUCCAAAUUUGUGGAUUUUAUUUUUGGUACGUACACAAUCUGUGUUUCUGCAGAAAUGCAGAAUCAUAUCCAUCCUUGCUCCGCCAGAGGUCCAACGACACACAUCUUUACUGUCUCAUUUGAAAAAGACUGUUCACCUUUCUUCAUCCCAGAUCAUCAACCAUUGCUAAGCCAUAUACGCAUCGACUCCCUUUUUUCUGACCUCAGAACUCCCACAGGCCUUGUGCACCUCUGCUAUUCUUAGGCAACGAGAGCCCUCCUGCAGUAGGAAACACCUAUUCCACUCAGUUCUGUUUAAACUCAAUCUUUUUCAUGUUUCAAGUUCCUCCUGAUACAAACCUGACUCCAAAUCCCCCAGCGCAGAUGAACUUACACUGAGCAUUAGAAGCAAUCUCCUAAAAUUAAUUCCCAAUGGGUCAGUGACUGAUAGCCCGUUAAAGCGUGUGAGGGUAGCUGCAUUCUCCAGUGUUGAAUGCCUAUCAACCUAAAUGAACUGGUGUUUCAUGACAUUUCAGGGGCUAGAAGAGUUGAAUUGAGAAAUCCGUCCAUUUGGGCAGAGCUUUUAGUAAAACUAAAAGUAUUCAGCCCAGCCGGGUGGGUGGACCAGCCUUUUCUUCUAGUUUUAUUGCCAUCUACUCUUACCUCUCACAGUUUCCUUUAUUCUAGUUUCACCAAUUAAAAAAAAAAAACCUCUAAAAUUUUAUCUAUGGCAGAAGAAUCUGGUUAUUUAGAUUUUUUGUAAUUAGCUCAUUGUAAAUUAAAGACUGGCUCUCUACACUAGACUCUGCAACACAUCUCUGACUUCUGCUUUACCUCAGUAUAUAUUAAAACUAAGCCAAGUGUGAAUGUGACAAUCUAAGCAAUUAAAAGGCAAUCAACAUGAUUAGAAGGUUCCUUGGGUUUUCCCUAGUAAGAUAGAGUAGUGGGCCUUAUAUGUAGGGGCAAAGCCAGCUUCCUGCUCUGUCCUUUCUAUCUGUGUGACUCAAGGCAAGUUUCCCUAACUCUUCUUUCAACCAUUUGCUCUUUGACACAUUUAGAAAUACCGGUAUAUUUCCUGCCAGCUUCUUGUUAAGACUAAAAAACACGACAUACAAAACUUUCUGUAGAAAGUUCUACAGAAGUUGGUUCCCUUCCUUCCAACUCCAGACCUAAGGAUAAGGAGUAUGCGUGGGAAAGAAGCAGACAUCCUCAUUCAAAACCCUCAUCAAAAUGGAACUGUAAGGUAGCAUAACUACUGUUGCUAUAAAUGGGGCUUGAGGCAGGAAUAUGCCUCUUCUGCUUUGCUUAGCACAUUUUUCUGGCUUAUUUGGAGCAGGAAGGUAUA
rnacentral:lncRNA from 1 species